GCUGAACUCAUCUUUCAUUCAUUUAUAACAAAUGUCCCCAAACUGCUAAGCCCUUUGGCACAGAAAAAGACAAUACAACUAACCAUAUGUUGCUCUGCUGAGAAUGCAUUUUUAAAAGGCAGGCAAUCACUCGUUGGGUAAUAGAAAGAAAUCAGUGAAUCAUACAAACAUUCGAUCAUUUCCUGCAUUUCAGAUCCUAUUAAAGGACUACUGCUCAUAAAUGGAAAUAACAAACCAAAAAAGGGACUCAAGUCUUACAAAUGAAAUGAAUUUUAGAAUUACAAACCAAUGUCCUAAAGCACAAAGGUAUUUUAUGCUUGCGUCCUAUCUGAAAUAUUACAAGGUUUGGCAUAUCAUACCAUGUAGCCUCCUAAUCAUUCUACCAUUGCGUCCACUGAAGCUUCAGCAGCAGGCUUGGAUUUCCCUUUUUUCUUACCACUGCGCUUUAACUGCUUCAGCUUCAGGCCUUUCUUCACAUGAAAUUUUGCUGGGGAUUUGCUGGCACUCUUGGAUGUAUCUUCAACUGAAACUAACUUUCAUCAGUUAGGUUAUAAGUUGUUAGCAAUAUAAGUAGAAGCAUCCAAAAGUCAUUGAACUGUAGUGAUUGCUAAGUAAUUUAUAUUCGCAGAACCUGAAUCAUAGUACAAAACCCUACUCCCAGUCCCAAGAAAAUUGUUACCAAAUACCAACGCUUUUUUCCUGAUUAUCAUGAAGGCACAAGGGAUUCCACCAAAGCAAGGCAAAAUUACAAAAUUUAAGAGAAAAUUUGAUAUUUCACCUCACAAUAUUAGCUUUCACUAUGGGCUGCCACAGAUGGAUUUAUGAUUAACUCGAUGAAGCACACUGGACAAAAUUCUCUCAUACAUACAAAAGCACAAUAAGUUGGGUAUACUCCAACAUUCCAUCACAGCUUAAAUUUAUUGGGGCCAAAGGUAACUUUUUUUUUGGUAUUAAAUGUCUAAAACAUGCAAACAUUAUGUUCUCAACAACUCAAGAAGCCAGAGCAUGAUUUAUUGGUCAUCAAACAAUUGCAUAUGUACAACUUCAACAGCAUAAUCUCUAUUUAUUUAACAAAAAAGAAAUCUUAACCCUGGUUGAAAGUAAUAUCUAACCCUUGCAAUACCAGCAAACAGAUAUUGCUAUGGAUUUUAGUUAUGCUGGAUUUUCAGAUAUCACAUACUGGUAACCUAGUUCACAAUUAUAGUUCACAAUUAUAACCAGAAUGAAUACUAAGCCCACUCUGACUCAUCUUUUCCGCUCUUAUUACCUUCUUUCUUAUCUUUAGCUGAGAUGUCAAUAAACUUGAGACCACCCACACAGCAUACAAUUAACUAGUUCCUAACAAAUACAUAAUCCACUAUUGCAACCUCCUUCAGCCUUCCCUAUGAGACUUUUCACCGUUUUAACACCUAGAUUCUAUCAAUUAUAGAAAUUACUGAUUCAUUGACCAGCAAGAAAAGAAAUAUAAUGAUUAGAAUUGCUUCAAAAGAAGAGAAAAAUGAAGGAAAAUAAACCUUCAGCGGCAGCCAUCUCCACAUCUUGCAUGGUGACCAAACCUUUCUCUAUAGCCUCCUUCUGCUCCCUGCGCCAUUUCUUUAGGAGCUUGCGUUUGCGCUUUCCAGAGACAGAGAGGGGCUGAGGCUUAUUCUUGAGCUUCCCAGUAACUGGGUCUCCACGGAUCGCUCUUUUCCUCUCUGCUACUUGCUCUCUUCUUCUUUUCUGCACCACAUUGAACUUCGCCAUCUUCUCUCCGUCGCUCUCCCU
rnacentral:misc_RNA from 1 species